rnacentral:lncRNA from 1 species
CUUCUUGGGCUUCCUGGAACCCCCAAAAAAAUCAGGUUAAACACCCUAAACUUUAUCAUUUCAGCAUUGGACAAACAUAAAUUGCAGUUAGAUUAGAUGCACAGGAUUAAUGUAAUCUUCUGCCGUUUGUCUUUUUCAUUAAGAAUCAUGGCGUUUGAGUAAUACUUCUAUCUUUCUGUUUUUUUAAAUUUAGGUCCAUAUAAAUAGAGUUCUAGCAAUUUUUGAAUUGCCUUUAAUUCAUCAUUUGUUAUAGGAUUAUUCUUUCCUACACUGACUGUAUACUGUUAGUAUUGGAUGAAUGACAAAUAUGCAAAAUUUAAAUUUAAAAUUCAACUUUUGCACAUAUAUCAUGAAUUCAACGGUGAUAGUAUAUAUACUAUUAGUGUAUAUAAAAUGUACUCAUUUGUAUGAUGUUAUUCUAAAUUUAGCUAAUAUACGAAACUAAGAGUUUGUUUUUAGGAAAUUUACAUGAAGAGUAUUUUCUAAGGUUAUAUUUAAAACUACAGUGUCUAUUGAGGCACUCGCUAAAAAGAGUCUUUGGUAUUAGUUUAGUUAAUUUGGGAAAGUGUUAUAACGAGAGGUGCAAUAAAUGUGAGAGUAGUAACUUGGAUAUGAUAUAGAGUUAAAAUAAUUGUAUAUUAUAAGGAAACUGGAGUUGAUUUUUUCAAGGAGAAAGUUAAAGGAUACAAAAUUAACUACCGAUAAACUGUUUUUUCUCGGGAAGAGGGGGCACAAAGUGAUAGAUGUUUAAUUCAAAGCUAAUACACUAUAAGGAAUUUUUUGGAAAGUUUGACCGAGAUUGCCUGCCUCUCUAUGCCCGUUGCUGUCCUAAUGAGGCUUAAGUAGCCUCUUUUUUUUUUGGUUAAGAAAAGUCAUCAUUAAUAAUAAUAAGUUAACAAAAGUUUACAAAUCGAGGUAGGGCAAAGCCUCUGCAGUCAAGUUCUAACAAUUUUGAAAUUGCCAAGGGAUAACAAUCAAAUAAAAUAAAGUCAAUUUUUUCCUCUACAUCCAUUUUGGUCCAAAAGUCCGCACACUGGUUUGCCUCCCUAUAGACGUGCUUAAAGGUAAUUACCUGGAAUGUCUGCAUAAUAGACCUACAAUCACAAACAAUUGGAGCAGUAGAAUGCAUUAGAUCAACCUUAGAAUUCAACAAAUCCACCAGAACUUUUGCAUCCAACUCUACAAUGAGUUUAGAAAUACUAAGUUGCUUAGCUAACUGCAAUCCAUCCUUUAAUGCCCACAGUUCAGCUACAGUAUUUGUAGCCUAGCCAAUGUUUCUGCAAAAGCCACCAGUCCAUUCUCUUAGGUGAUUUCUAAUAAGGCCUCCAGCCCCAACUUUCCCUGCUUUGGCAAGAGAGGCCCCAUCCGUAUUGAGUUUGAAAACAUUUGGGGGUCGGGAAGUCUAGCUCACCUGAAUUUGAUGUUUAACAGAAACAAAUUCUCUAUUUGUUGGUCCCACUUUAAGGAAUUCAGCAGCAGUAGCUAUAGAAGCUUGAAUUAAAUUGCUUCUGUGAAGCUGAGAUUCAAACAAGCUUCUAUUUCUUUGGUUCCAAUGGAUCCAGCAACCAAAGGCAAUUAAAGACCCCAGGGGAUUUUUUAGAAUUGACACUCAGAAGAGUUGAGACAAGCAGUCUUAAGCCAAGUGUUAGUGGACUGUCCUGGUUGGGGAUGUAGAAACUGAGGUAAGGAUAGCCCUUGCCAAAGAUGUCUAGCACGGGGACAAUCCCAUAAAACAUGAAGAGAGUCCUCCUUCAACCAAUCACAGAAACUAUAGCUUUCCUCUUUUACAAUUUUCCUGACCAAGAGGUUGUUUUUUGUGGGAAGUUUGUCCUGGCAAGCAAUCCAUAGAAAAUGCAACACUCUAUUGUUAGCAGCAACUCUCCAGACCCGUAGGGUCUAUUCCUCACAGCUAUUUUGCUGUCCUUCCCCAACAGAUUCACACUAGACUUCAAGGAAAAUUCUCCCAUAGGGUCUGCUUUCCAAUUAAAAGUUUCAUUCCAACACAUAAAAUGUUGUCUUGGAAUAGCUUUAAUUGUCUCAACAACAAGGUUAGGGAACCGAAAGGAAAUGUAUUGGGGAUUCCAAGAUUCACCUUGAAGGAAAUUAAACCAAGCUAUUCUAGUAUUAGUUUCCUAAUUCAUUUUGGUAUCUUAUUUGUUUAGUUUCCACAUUAGAUUAGGAAAUCUUAAGUUACUUUUCAAGUAAGUUUUGGUUUAUAAUUAUAUUUGUUUUAGGAAGCUUUAAAGUCUAUAAAUACUACUAGUCUAGCAAGUUAUUAAUUGAAGAGUUGAGUUGAGUUUGAGAGUAGGUUUGAGAGAAAAUCUCAUAGUUGAGAUUUGUGAGUUGUCGUGAGCGAAAAGCUACAACUCGAUAUUUGUUAUUGUUGAGUUUUGAGUUAAUUGAAUUAUUGAGUAUUUGUUCUCCUCUUCUUCCCACAUAUUUUUAUAUGUGUCAAAAUUGCUUUCGCUGUGCGCGAGGAUUUUUUGUGUGCUAACAAGUGGUUUCAGAGCUCUAGAUUUUGAUCCCGAGGCAUGUCCGCAAAAUUGGGGCUUGGAGCUUGUUCGUGAAAUUAAAGUAUGGAUCCGCAUUAUUUACACCAUUGUCUUGCUUUUAUCUUUGAUGGUAAAAGUAAUUUUGAGACUUGGAGGUCGAUGAUGAAGGAUUUUUUCAAAGAUAUUGGAGUUUGGAAUAUUAUCCAAAAGGGGUUCACGGAACCUCUAACAGGUAUAGAAUUAUCAAUCGACGCAAUUAAACAAUUAGAGAGGAAUAGACAAUUGAAUUGUAAGACACUCUACUAUCUCAUACAUGUAAAGACAGCAAAGGAGGUUUGGAAAUUUUUAAUAAAUUCCUAUGGUCAUGGUGGAGAAGAAAUUUGUGACGAGGAAGAAGAAAAAUAAGUUUUUGAUGAGGUAUACACAGGAAGAUGAAGGAAUUGUGAUUGAAGAAGAAAUUUCGCAAGUGGUUGAGACAGAAAGUGAAAUCAUUGAUCAAAUUAAAGAUGUGAUUGAAGAUCAUGAUGAUAGAGAAAUUGUUGACUUUAUCGACGUUGAUGAAUUUUUUGAAGAGAAAAAUCAAGUGAUGAAAUUGGUUGGAAUCAAUUGUGGAGUGGACAAAUUAGUUGAAGAUUGUAACACUGUUUAGAUUGAUGCAGUUGUCAACGUGAAUCAAUCAACACAAAAAUAUGGUGAUGUUAAAAAUAUUGGUAGUGGUAACUAUAAUUUUGUGAUUUUGGGAGAUUUUAUUAGUGAUAUGGAUGAACUGAAUGAUGGAGUAUCUAAUGGAGUAUGGGUGAAUAUGUUUGAAUUUUUUGACAAGAGUGAUCAAGCCAAGAAGUUGUUUGAGAAGUAUAAAUUCGUCAACUACCACGCGCGAAGAUGAAAUUGAAGGUCAAUUGCAAGUUAGAGUUCCAUGUCAUUUAUACUGUGACUGAAUUUUUCAUGGAGAUUCAAGCUAAUGAUAGCAUUGGAGAUAACAACAUCAAGAGUUUGGUUUAAGGGAGGCAAUGAGGGAAAUUAAGCCAAGCUAUUCUAGUAUUAGUUUCCUAAUUCGUUUUGGUAUCUUAUUUGUUUAGUGUCCACAUUAGAUUAGGAAAGCUUAAUUAGUUUUCAAGUAAGUUUUGGUUUAUAAUUAUAUUUGUUUUAGGAAGCUUUAGAAUCUAUAAAUACUACCAGUCUAACAAAUUAUUAAUUGAAGAGUUGAGUUGAGUUUGAGAGUAGGUUUGAGAGAAAAUCUCAUAGUUGAGAUUUGUGAGUUGUCAUGAGCGAAAAGUUACGACUCGAUAUUUAUUAUUGUUGAGUUUUGACUUAAUUGAAUUAUUGAGUAUUUGUUCUCAUUAUCUUCCCACAUAUUUUUAUGUGUCGAAAUUACUUCCGCUGUGUACACAGAUUUUUGUGUGCCAACACACCUUCCCAAAUAAGUUAGCAACUACCAAAUUUUCUUCCCCAGGCUGUAAUGGUCCACUGAUAAGAGAACUCAAAGGUCCAAGACCAGUCCAAUCCUCAAACCAAACUAUUACAUAAUUCCCAUUUCUAAUAACCCAUCCAAUACCUCUAUUAAAAAGAUCCACUCCCAUCUUAAGGCACUGUUUGUUAAUAGAACCAUGGCCUUUGUUCAAAAUUAAGUUUCUAUUUACUAAAAGAAGCUUCUUUAUCCACAUAUUUAUGAGUUAGCAUUUUGGCCCAAGGUUGUUCACGGUUCCUCUUAACCCUCCAACACAGACUCGCCAUUGCUGCUACAUUAACAUCAUAAGUCUUCCUAAUAUUAAAAGCAACUGUGACCAUCGAGUCGGUUAGUUCUUUUCAAUUUCCGAAAUAAUAGAUCAAAAAUUAUAAAACCAUUGUAUUGAUUGUUCACGUUUAUUAAUAAGAAUAAAAAACAAACCAUUUUGAAAGGUUUUAUGCUAGAUAAAAUUAUGUGUCCUCAUGAAGGUAGGACUAGUUGGGAAAACAAGGGAGGUGGAGUUGGUAAAAAUGAUUUUCAUUUAAAUCACAAAACACAUUUUAUGAUAAUUAAUGCAAAGUUUUGUCGAUGUCAGCCUUUUGGGUUCAUUUUUUUACAUAUUAGUCAAAUAAAUUGGGAACAAGAUUUUUUUAUUACCAUAACAUGUCACUUUUUUAGAUUGUUGUUUUUCUUAGACAAAUGUAACACUUUUAUUAAAGAGUAGAUUUGUUAUAUAUUGACAAUGUAUACACGAUCAUAGUUGGAUAUAUGAUAUAUAUGUAAAAUUUGAGUUUCAAAUCUAAAUUCAGGUUAUCAAAUCAGCUGGAGAAAUUCUGACAGAUCCAAACUAGCUGGAAUGACGUUGAUGAAAAAUGGUAGUGGAAAUAGUGUCACAUCGUUCCUAUAUUUCAUCAUGGAAAAAGAAAAGAAAUUGAAGAAUGAAGAGACAAAGAAAGGAAGAAAUUUGGGAAAUUAGAUUUUGGCAAGAAAAGAAACAUCAAAGAUGAUGAACCCAUGAUGGAAUAAUACAGUCUCAAUAUUCCUCUUUAUGAAAUAUGCCAAAUGUAUACCCCAUUUAAAAGUAAUAAAACUUCCGUUACUAAUAUGAUAGAAUUUCCCCAUAUUCUAAAAGAAACUUGAGGAAAAAAACUUAAGAGACA